rnacentral:lncRNA from 1 species
AACAAGAGUAGAAGUAUGGAGUCAACAUUGGGUUACAGGAAACCUACCUUAAGAAGCAUUACCUCUCCUUUGGUUGCUCACAGACUAAAACCAAUCAGACAGAAAACCAAAAAGGCUGUGGUGAGCAUCCUUGAUUCAGAGGAGGUGUGUGUGGAGCUUCUAAAAGAGUGUACAUCUGAAGGACAUGUGAAAGAAGUUCUUCAGAUAUCUAGUGAUGGGACUACGAUCACCGUUUAUUACCCAAAUGAUGGAAGAGGCUUUCCUCUUGCUGAUAGACCACCCUUGCCUACUGACAACAUCAGCAGGUACAGCUUUGACAGUUUACCAGGUAUGUACAUUAGUGAGCAGGAGAUGGGCUGAGAUCAUAGGUUUACAUACACAUUUAUUCUGAUUUUUGGAUAUAGUAAGUUGUAGCAGGUAAGUUAUAACUACCUUGGUUUCAGUUGCGCUACCAUUCAAAUUCAUGUACUUAGUGUCUGGGAAGAUCUGGUGUAUCUUAUUACUCCGCUGUUUAUGGUAUGUUACCAUGAACCUCUUAGGUAAAAACUAGCUCUGAG